rnacentral:rRNA from 1 species
GACGAACGCUGGCGGCGUGCUUAACACAUGCAAGUCGAACGGAAAGGCCCUGCUUUUGUGGGGUGCUCGAGUGGCGAACGGGUGAGUAACACGUGAGUAACCUGCCCUUGACUUUGGGAUAACUUCAGGAAACUGGGGCUAAUACCGGAUAGGAGCUCCUGCUGCAUGGUGGGGGUUGGAAAGUUUCGGCGGUUGGGGAUGGACUCGCGGCUUAUCAGCUUGUUGGUGGGGUAGUGGCUUACCAAGGCUUUGACGGGUAGCCGGCCUGGGAGGGUGACCGGCCACCUUGGGACUGAGGUACGGCCCAGACUGCUACGGGAGGCAGCGGUGGGGAAUAUUGCACAAUGGGCCGAAGCCUGAUGCAGCAACGCCGCGUGCGGGAUGACGGCCUUCGGGUUGUAAACCGCUUUCGCCUGUGACGAAGCGUGAGUGACGGUAAUGGGUAAAGAAGCACCGGCUAACUACGUG